rnacentral:rRNA from 1 species
UUCUUAUUUUUUUCCCUUGGUGGCAUGCGAUAUAGUGGACACCGACUUUCACUCCUCGCGGAUUCCUAGCAUAAUACAACCAAAUAGAGCCAACCCCCUUUAUUGUAAGGGGGGGUUGCAAAGGGACUUGGGGGCAAAAGGGGAGGGAUCAAGGCGGAGGGCCUGGAUGUUGGGCCCUUGUCAGCCAAGGGGGGGAUUCAAUCACUCCCUUUUUGGAAAGAGGGUGGGAGGAAAUUCUUGUGGACAAAGAAUUC